ACUUGGGCUUAGACUUGCUGAACUUGGAGAACUAUCAAGCUCUUCUGGAGGCAUAUGGACCUAUGGGUGGACUGAAGCCCAGUCCUUGCUCUACUGGUUCUUUCUGCUGUCUUUUCUCUACACUGCUCUUAGUUUCUCACCUCUAUGACCUUUCUUCUAUUUCAUCUCCUAUUUAGGCCCCUCCUCCUCCCCUCUCAGUGCAUGUCUCCUUGCAUUCAGGCAGUUUUCCACAGUGAACCAGAGGUAGGGCCAGUAGGAGGGGUGCAGCCAUGAUCCUGUAGACACUGUCACUCACCAGUCAGGUUAUCUCUUUAUUCUUUUUAUUCAUAAAAAGUCAUAAAACCAGGGGAAACAAAGUUAGAAAGGUAUAAAAUUGAGUGGUCCUUAGUUUCAGCAGAAUCUUAUAUUCAUUUUUUGCCCCAUUAAAAAAAAAAGAAGCCUCAGUUUUGCGUAUGAUUGCAGAAAUACUAGUAUUUUAGUGGAAGUAGAGUAGGACUCCAUAUAUGAUCAGAGUAUUAUCAUCAAGGCUUUCAGAAGCAAAUUUUCAGUGACUUUGGCAAGAUAUAGCAAUGCAUUCCUCCAAAUAGUUCAUUUGUCUGGAUGAUAUUUUGUUUUGUUCUGUUCUGUUUUCUCAGGCACAGUGUCUUCCAUUCCAUGAGAAUAAUGGUGUGGGAGAAAGGCUGAGAAUUAUACUUUCCAAUGCAAUAUUUGCCAGUCCUGUGGAAAAUAAGAUUUUAACAAAGUUCACUGUUCAGCCAACAUACUAGAUGGAAUGGCAGAAAUUCAACAAGUUUGUGUGUGUGUGUGUGUGUAUAGAAGUACACAUAAGCAAAGUAGACAAUGUCAA
rnacentral:lncRNA from 1 species